AUUUCCACACCAGCACCAAAUGCUAAUUUUUUCUCUUUGCUGCGUUUCGAAAAAUGACUCUGCACUCAUUUCUCUCUGCCUCCUGCCCUAAAUCUCGCUAUAUAUCCUCCUCGCGCACAUCAAACGCCCGAUGAUUUCUCUCCGCGCCCAUCGAACGCCCAACACGAUCUCCUUCUUCCUCCAGCCCUCCCCUGCCCUAAAACUCCCCUCCUUCGUCUCGUCGAAGAUAUCGACAGCGAAACCCUCCUCCUUCCCUAGUGAAGGAUUUAGCCAACGAAACCAGGCCCUAGGAUUGUGAAGCAAUGUCGUGCCAAAUACUUUGCACCAUUGCCCAAAGGUCAAGGAUCAUAUGGAAGAGUAUAUUUUGCAGCUCUGGAUGAUAGAAAGCAAGUAGCCUUAAAGAAACUUGAUUCUGCAACAAAGUCCAAGACCAAUACUCAUUUUCUGUAUCAGUGUGCAUGCUAAUACUGAUAAGAAUGCUUUUACCCAAUUUUUGCAGAUGGUGGACUUUUCAGGUAUCUAUGGCUUCAAGGUUGAAGCAUGAAAACUUUGUCGAGUUACUGGGUUAUUAUGUUGAAGGAAAUUUCCGCUUGCUGGCCUAUGAAUUUGCAGCAAUGGGUACUUUGCAUGAUAUCCUGUAUGGUAGAAAGGGACUGGAAGAUGCACACCCUGCUCCACCACUAGACUGAUGCAGCGUGUGAGGAUAGCAAUUGAUGCUACAAAAGGGUUGGAGUAUCUUCAUGAGAAGGUUCAGCCUUCUAUAAUAUAUUGGGACAUUAGAUCAAGCAAUGUACUUUUGUUUGAGGGCUUUAAAGCUAAAAUUGUAGAUUUUAACCUCUUAAAUCAAUCACCUGAUAUGAACCGUAAAGUAUUGUGCUUAAAGAACUUAAAAAGGAUUGAAUAUUGAACAUGAGUUUACCAACU